UACGUAGGGGGCAAGCGUUGUUCGGAAUUACUGGGCGUAAAGGGCGCGUAGGCGGCACGACAAGUCGGGAGUGAAAGCCCGGGGCUCAACCCCGGAGGGUCUCUCGAAACUGUCGAGCUAGAGUGCGGAAGAGGCAAUCGGAAUUCCCAGUGUAGCGGUGAAAUGCGUAGAUAUUGGGAAGAACACCGGUGGCGAAGGCGGCAUCCUGGACCAACACUGACGCUGAGGAGCGAAAGCCAGGG
rnacentral:rRNA from 1 species